UAUGGAAAGAAAACGAAGAGAACUGUUAUAUGACAUUCGUUACUGUUUCUUGUCUUGCAAUUUAUUGACUAUUUAAUAGUGAGAUCGCGGUUUUCCAUAAAAUUGAAACCAAAAUAUUACCGACCUGUGGUGACUAAUGCAAGGUCUCUAAAAGAAAAUUCUCGGCCGGCCGUUAUCUUCUUGUCUUCAUUCGUUCUUCAAAACACCCAGGUGUGUAAUCCUGGAAUUUUGCUGAUUACUAGCUCCGGUCAACAUUUGUUCUAGUUGCAGUCUUGUAGAUGCAUUUUUCCAUAACACUUUCCCGCCAGAAGCCGUUCUUUAGUGGACAGUCGGAGGAUCGAAAAUUUUUAACUCUAUAUGUAACGUGCCUAAUAUCGGGAGUCGGCCAACGAUGUCAAUCUACAACGCACUUUCUUAAUUGGAGCUGGUGUUUCCUGGGAUGUGUUGUUGCGGAUUUGUUACACUAUCAUGUUCAAAAAGGUAAAAUUGUGUCCGCCAGGUGGUGGAGUGCCUGUUCGUGAGUGACGAAGCCGCCAUUUGCUUUUGAAACAGCGUACGGGAAUUCUUCCAAAUGACGGUGUUCUUCGCUUUUACAUUUUAAAAAAUGUUUCCACGCCAUUCGACCAAGUUGAAACGAAAGUGAAUAAUUCUAAAGCAUCAUGUCGAAGAUCUUGCUUUUAUCCACGUGAUCGAUGCCACAAAGGUGUGUCUUUGAGAGGGUCUCUACUAUAUUGCAACACAAAAAUGUGAAGAAACCAGGAAAUCUGAAAUGGAUUCUAUGGUCAGUUUGAUGUUUGAGCUGUUUAUGGUGUUGCUGUUUGGUGUGAAGUGGGUUUGCAGUCAUUUUCCAUUUGAGAGAUGCGCUGAAAUGGACCUUCGUCAGACUUGCAGUUCAACAUCAUACUUCAAUGUGUUAUUUCCGUAUGUUUGUGUCCGUGCAGUGUUGAGCUGUUGGGCAAAACAGUCAUUGUUGUCUGAUGGCUGUCGAGGUAUAUUUUAUCCGCUGCAUUUUGUCAAUAUGUCGUCUCUUGCUACCUGUACGUUGAGGUAGUGCUUGAUGAACAGUAUCAUUUAGUUUUUCAGUCGUUAUUGCAGCCCAAGCUGGUGAAAGAUCUUUUUGCAUCAAGUAAAUCUGACUGUUUUUUUUUGUGUUGUUGGAGUGUUACGGAAGUUAUGUCAUUAUUGUGUUGAAUUGUCAUUGUGACUGCAGUUCACCGUUUAUAAUUUAGGAAGGGAAAAAAAAACAGAAUUAUGGGGAAUUUAUGUCAAACAACUAAUAAACUUGCUUUCGGGAUUGGGAAAGGAAUGUGGAGGUUGUCAGGUGGCAGGGUGGUGACUAGAAUUUUCAUAUCUCAAAAUAUAAUGAGGUAUGUUAAAAUGUACUGAUGCGAAUAGUGUGGAUAGAAUCUUUAUAAAUCCACAACAACUUCUAUAAUUUCAAAACCUAUUUAAUUACCCUAAAAUCAUACAACAUCUUAAAUC
rnacentral:lncRNA from 1 species